UGAACGCUGGCGGCAUGCUUUACACAUGCACGUCGAACGGCAGCGCGGGCUUCGGCCUGGCGGCGAGUGGCGAACGGGUGAGUAAUGCAUCGGAACGUGCCCAGUAGUGGGGGAUAGCCCGGCGAAAGCCGGAUUAAUACCGCAUACGACCUGAGGGUGAAAGCGGGGGACCGAAAGGCCUCGCGCUAUUGGAGCGGCCGAUGUCGGAUUAGCUAGUUGGUGGGGUAAAGGCUUACCAAGGCGACGAUCCGUAGCUGGUCUGAGAGGACGACCAGCCACACUGGGACUGAGACACGGCCCAGACUCCUACGGGAGGCAGCAGUGGGGAAUUUUGGACAAAGGGGGCAACCCUGAUCCAGCCAUGCCGCGUGCGGGAAGAAGGCCUUCGGGUUGUAAACCGCUUUUGUUCGGGAAGAAAUCCUCUGGGCUAAUACCCCGGGGGGAUGACGGUACCGGAAGAAUAAGCACCGGCUAACUACGUG
rnacentral:rRNA from 1 species